rnacentral:misc_RNA from 1 species
GAUGAAGAACGGAGCGAAAUGCGAUAAGUAGUGUGAAUUGCAGAAUUCCGUGAAUCAUCGAAUCUUUGAACGCACAUUGCGCCUUCUGGUAUUCCGGAAGGCAUGCCUGUUCGAGAGUCAUUAACAACCGUUUCGAUCCCUUUCUUUCAGAAAUUACAAAGAGGAAAAGGGUUUGGUUAUGGUGGAGGAGGGAAAGGGAGCGUUUAGCCUGUAAAAAAAGAGGCUGUGUUCCGCCUCCCCCCCAAAAUUGUACAGGCGGUCGUGUGCGCCCACGCAUCGAGGUGUUGUAAAAGCUGCCACGGCACUUUUCACCUGUGCAGUGCGAGAUUGGCCAGCCGGUUUAAAAACCCCUCCAAACAAUCAAAGGUUGACCUCGGAUCAGGUAGGGAUACCCGCUGAACUUAAGCAUAUCAAUAAGCGGAGGA